UACGGGGGGGGCCAGCGUUGUUCGGAAUUACUGGGCGUAAAGGGCUCGUAGGCGGCCAACUAAGUCAGACGUGAAAUCCCUCGGCUUAACCGGGGAACUGCGUCUGAUACUGGAUGGCUUGAGAUUGGGAGAGGGAUGCGGAAUUCCAGGUGUAGCGGUGAAAUGCGUAGAUAUCUGGAGGAACACCGGUGGCGAAGGCGGCAUCCUGGACCAACACUGACGCUGAGGGAGCGAAAGCGUGGGUAGCAAACAGG
rnacentral:rRNA from 1 species